rnacentral:rRNA from 1 species
UACGUAGGGGGCAAGCGUUAUCCGGAUUUACUGGGUGUAAAGGGAGCGUAGACGGCAUGGCAAGUCAGAUGUGAAAGCCCGGGGCUCAACCCCGGGACUGCAUUUGAAACUGUCAGGCUGGAGUGCAAGAGAGGUAAGCGGAAUUCCUAGUGUAGCGGUGAAAUGCGUAGAUAUUAGGAGGAACACCAGUGGCGAAGGCGGCUUACUGGACUGUAACUGACGUUGAGGCUCGAAAGCGUGGGGAGCAAACAGG